rnacentral:rRNA from 1 species
GAUGAACGCUGGCGGCGUGCCUAAUACAUGCAAGUCGAACGCUUCACUUCGGUGAAGAGUGGCGAACGGGUGAGUAAUACAUAAGUAACCUGGCAUCUACAGGGGGAUAACUGAUGGAAACGUCAGCUAAGACCGCAUAGGUGUAGAGAUCGCAUGAACUCUAUAUGAAAAGUGCUACGGGACUGGUAGAUGAUGGACUUAUGGCGCAUUAGCUUGUUGGUAGGGUAACGGCCUACCAAGGCGACGAUGCGUAGCCGACCUGAGAGGGUGACCGGCCACACUGGGACUGGGACGCGGCCCAGACUCCUACGGGAGGCAGCAGUAGGGAAUGUUCGGCAAUGGGGGAAACCCUGACCGAGCAACGCCGCGUGAAGGAAGAAGUAAUUCGUUAUGUAAACUUCUGUCAUAGAGGAAGAACGGUGGAUAUAGGGAAUGAUAUCCAAGUGACGGUACUCUAUAAGAAAGCCACGGCUAACUACGUG